rnacentral:rRNA from 2 species
GACAGAGGGUGCAAGCGUUGUUCGGAAUCAUUGGGCGUAAAGGGCGCGUAGGCGGUUUUGUAAGUCGAAUGUGAAAGCCCAGGGCUCAACCUUGGAAGUGCAUCCGAAACUGCGAAACUUGAAUCCUGGAGAGGGUGGUGGAAUUCCCAGUGUAGAGGUGAAAUUCGUAGAUAUUGGGAGGAACACCGGUGGCGAAGGCGACCACCUGGACAGAGAUUGACGCUGAGGCGCGAGAGCGUGGGGAGCAAACAGG